AGCGAACGCUGGCGGCAGGCCUAACACAUGCAAGUCGAACGAACCUUUCGGGGUUAGUGGCGGACGGGUGAGUAACACGUGGGAACGUGCCUUUAGGUUCGGAAUAGCUCAGGGAAACUUGUGCUAAUACCGAAUGUGCCCUUCGGGGGAAAGAUUAAUCGCCUUUAGAGCGGCCCGCGUCUGAUUAGCUAGUUGGUUGAGGUAAUGGCUCACCAAGGCGACGAUCAGUAGCUGGUCUGAGAGGAUGAUCAGCCACAUUGGGACUGAGACACGGCCCAAACUCCUACGGGAGGCAGCAGUGGGGAAUCUUGCGCAAUGGGCGAAAGCCUGACGCAGCCAUGCCGCGUGAAUGAUGAAGGUCUUAGGAUUGUAAAAUUCUUUCACCGGGGACGAUAAUGACGGUACCCGGAGAAGAAGCCCCGGCUAACUUCGUG
rnacentral:rRNA from 1 species